rnacentral:tRNA from 1 species
GGGGCUGUAGCUCAGCUGGUUAGAGCAGCGGACUCAUAAUCCGUUUGUCCUGGGUUCAAGCCCCAGCAGCCCUACGA